GAUGAACGCUGGCGGCGUGCCUAAUACAUGCAAGUCGAGCGAACGGGCGAGAAGCUUGCUUCUCUGAUGUUAGCGGCGGACGGGUGAGUAACACGUGGAUAACCUACCUAUAAGACUGGGAUAACUUCGGGAAACCGGAGCUAAUACCGGAUGAUAUUUUGAACCGCAUGGUUCAAAAGUGAAAGACGGUCUUGCUGUCACUUAUAGAUGGAUCCGCGCUGCAUUAGCUAGUUGGUAAGGUAACGGCUUACCAAGGCAACGAUGCAUAGCCGACCUGAGAGGGUGAUCGGCCACACUGGAACUGAGACACGGUCCAGACUCCUACGGGAGGCAGCAGUAGGGAAUCUUCCGCAAUGGGCGAAAGCCUGACGGAGCAACGCCGCGUGAGUGAUGAAGGUCUUCGGAUCGUAAAACUCUGUUAUUAGGGAAGAACAUAUGUGUAAGUAACUGUGCACAUCUUGACGGUACCUAACCAGAAAGCCACGGCUAACUACGUG
rnacentral:rRNA from 1 species